UACAGAGGUCCCAAGCGUUGUUCGGAAUUACUGGGCGUAAAGGGCGCGUAGGCGGUUCGUCAAGUUGCAGGUGAAAUUCCAAGGCUUAACCUUGGCAAGCCUGCAAAACUGGCGGACUAGAGGGUCGUAGGGGAAGUUGGAAUUCUCGGUGUAGCAGUGAAAUGCGUAGAUAUCGAGAGGAACAUCAGUGGCGAAGGCGAACUUCUUGACGAAUCCAGACGCUGAGGCGCGAAAGCCAAGGUAGCAAACGGG
rnacentral:rRNA from 1 species